CCUACGGGAGGCAGCAGUGAGGAAUAUUGGUCAAUGGACGAGAGUCUGAACCAGCCAAGUAGCGUGAAGGAUGACUGCCCUAUGGGUUGUAAACUUCUUUUAUAUGGGAAUAAAAUGUUCCACGUGUGGGAUUUUGUAUGUACCAUAUGAAUAAGGAUCGGCUAACUCCGUGCCAGCAGCCGCGGUAAUACGGAGGAUCCGAGCGUUAUCCGGCUUUAUUGGGUUUAAAGGGAGCGUAGGUGGAUUGUUAAGUCAGUUGUGAAAGGUUGCGGCUCAACCGGAAAAUUGGAGUUGAAACUGGCAGUCUUGAGUACAGUAGAGGUGGGCGGAAUUCGUGGUGUAGCGGUGAAAUGCUUAGAUAUCACGAAGAACUCCGAUUGCGAAGGCAGCUCACUGGACUGCAACUGACACUGAGGCUCGAAAGUGUGGGUAUCAAACAGGAUUAGAUACCCCUGUAGUC
rnacentral:rRNA from 1 species